rnacentral:rRNA from 1 species
UACGUAGGGGGCAAGCGUUGUCCGGAUUUAUUGGGCGUAAAGAGCGUGUAGGCGGCGCGGUAAGUCGGGUGUGAAAUCUCGGAGCUUAACUCCGAAACUGCAUUCGAUACUGCCGUGCUUGAGGACUGGAGAGGAGACUGGAAUUUACGGUGUAGCGGUGAAAUGCGUAGAUAUCGUAAGGAAGACCAGUGGCGAAGGCGGGUCUCUGGACAGUUCCUGACGCUGAGGCACGAAGGCCAGGGGAGCAAACGGG